UUUGAACCGCAUGGUUCAAAAGUGAAAGACGGUCUUGCUGUCACUUAUAGAUGGAUCCGCGCUGCAUUAGCUAGUUGGUAAGGUAACGGCUUACCAAGGCAACGAUGCAUAGCCGACCUGAGAGGGUGAUCGGCCACACUGGAACUGAGACACGGUCCAGACUCCUACGGGAGGCAGCAGUAGGGAAUCUUCCGCAAUGGGCGAAAGCCUGACGGAGCAACGCCGCGUGAGUGAUGAAGGUCUUCGGAUCGUAAAACUCUGUUAUUAGGGAAGAACAUAUGUGUAAGUAACUGUGCACAUCUUGACGGUACCUAAUCAGAAAGCCACGGCUAACUACGUGCCAGCAGCCGCGGUAAUACGUAGGUGGCAAGCGUUAUCCGGAAUUAUUGGGCGUAAAGCGCGCGUAGGCGGUUUUUUAAGUCUGAUGUGAAAGCCCACGGCUCAACCGUGGAGGGUCAUUGGAAACUGGAAAACUUGAGUGCAGAAGAGGAAAGUGGAAUUCCAUGUGUAGCGGUGAAAUGCGCAGAGAUAUGGAGGAACACCAGUGGCGAAGGCGACUUUCUGGUCUGUAA
rnacentral:rRNA from 1 species